rnacentral:rRNA from 1 species
UUUAAACGGCCGCGGUAUUCUAACCGUGCAAAGGUAGCGUAAUCACCUGUCUUCUAAAUAAAGACCAGUAUGAACGGCUAAAUGAGAACAAACCUGUCUCUUGCAACCAAUCAGUGAAACUGAUCUCCUGGUCCAAAAGCCAGAAUAAACCCAUAAGACGAGAAGACCCUGUGGAGCUUUAAACAAAAUACUACGCACGCACUAAACCGCACCUAGUAAAAAGUUUUGAGUUGGGGCGACUUCGGAACCAAAAAAAGCUUCCGAGCACAGAACCACCCAUUCUUACCAAGACUAACAAGUCAAAGCCAAACACGACCCAGUAACACUGAUCAACGAACCAAGUUACCCCAGGGAUAACAGCGCCAUCUUCUUCAAGAGUCCAUAUCGACAAGAAGGUUUACGACCUCGAUGUUGGAUCAGGACACCCCAACGGUGCAGCCGCUGUUAAAGGUUCGUUUGUUCAACGAUUAAUAGUCCU